rnacentral:rRNA from 1 species
CAGUAGCCGCGGGAAUACGUAGGUGGCAAGCGUUGUCCGGAAUUAUUGGGCGUAAAGGGCUCGCAGGCGGUUUCUUAAGUCUGAUGUGAAAGCCCCCGGCUCAACCGGGGAGGGUCAUUGGAAACUGGGAAACUUGAGUGCAGAAGAGGAGAGUGGAAUUCCACGUGUAGCGGUGAAAUGCGUAGAGAUGUGGAGGAACACCAGUGGCGAAGGCGACUCUCUGGUCUGUAACUGACGCUGAGGAGCGAAAGCGUGGGGAGCGAACAGGAUUAGAUACCCGGGUAGUCCCUGUCUCUUAUAA